ensembl:lncRNA
ACCCGUGCUCCCUGCAGUGGAAGCUGAAGUCUGAACUACUCAGCCACCAGGGAAGCCCCUAGAGAGAUUCUUUAGAAAAGAAGGAAAUUGCUUGGGUCUCCUGAACCGAGGGGCUCAGGUCUGGUCUUCCUCCUUAUCGCUAUCACCUUGUCCUUGGCCACAUGGAGGUGGCUUCCUACAGUUGAUGAGAAGCUGGCUUUCUCGUGCAAAGAGCCUUGUUCUUCCCAAACCAGGGCAGUUCAGAGUUCUCUUCCAGAGAUUGAAGUUGCCAGAAAGUGACCUCCAGGUCAAGACCAUGUUCCUGAUAUGUCUGGCAGCCAGCCAGGACUGUGACAUCUUCUGACAUCAGAUGAUGGAAGGAGCAUUUGGCCACUUAUCCAAUUAGAACAUCCAAACCGUCAUUAUGUAUUAGGUGUAAGG